rnacentral:rRNA from 1 species
UGGGGGAUAUUGCACAAUGGGCGAAAGCCUGAUGCAGCGACGCCGCGUGGGGGAUGAAGGCUUUCGGGUUGUAAACCUCUUUCGCUAUCGAACAAGGCCCGCUUAGGGUGGGAUGAGGGUAGGUGGAGAAGAAGCGCCGGCUAACUACGUGCCAGCAGCCGCGGUAAUACGUAGGGCGCGAGCGUUGUCCGGAAUUAUUGGGCGUAAAGGGCUUGUAGGCGGCUUGUUGCGCCUGCUGUGAAAACGCGGGGCUUAACUUCGCGCGUGAAGUGGGUAGGGGCAGGCUUGAGUGUGGUAGGGGUGACUGGAAUUCCAGGUGUAGCGGUGGAAUGCGCAGAUAUCUGGAGGAACACCGAUGGCGAAGGCAGGUCACUGGGCCAUUACUGACGCUGAGGAGCGAAAGCAUGGGUAGCGAACAGG